rnacentral:sRNA from 1 species
ACCGGAUUCCCGACGAAGCAAUCCGAGGGACGGGGACGGGGGACCCACAGUCCUCCAGGAGACUCCGGUUUCCGCACAGGACACCGGCCGCGACAUGCACCGCAUGCCACGGCCUCGGGGUGAAGCCAGGCCCUUUCCCGCCAGGAAAGGCGAGGCCGAGCGACCUCUCAGCUCGAACCCGACAGCUGACCUCGCAGGCGCGCGUGGAGAGGAUCU